rnacentral:rRNA from 1 species
UACGAAGGGGGCUAGCGUUGUUCGGAAUUACUGGGCGUAAAGGGCGUGCAGGCGGUUUGUUAAGUGCAGGGUGAAAGCUCCCGGCUCAACUGGGAGAGGUCCUUGCAUACUGGCGAACUCGAGGGAGGCAGAGGAAAGUGGAAUUCCCGGUGUAGUGGUGAUAUGCGUAGAUAUCGGGAGGAACACCUGUGGCGAAGGCGGCUUUCUGGGCCUUACCUGACGCUGAGACGCGAAAGCGUGGGGAGCGAACCGG